ensembl:lncRNA
GUUGAUUUAGGUUGGAGUCUGGAGCCACAUUGCUGUCAACCGUUUCCCAACAGUCAAUAAGAAUGCAAUUGCAAAGUUCCGCUGGGUGAAUAAUAAAACACAGGCUGGUUUUCAUAUGACAGGCAUGGAGACAGAUGUCACUGAAGCAGCUGCAGACGGGCUUUGUUUGAAAUACAGAGAUUAAAAAAAAAAAAAAAAUCCCAAUGUACACAAAAAUGCCAAAUAGCUUUUUGUACAAAGAAAGUAAAGAACACCUUGAGGCGGACCGAAAAACAAAAGCUGCCUUUCAGAUGUGUUCAUGACGAAUUGCAGAAAUGGGUUUACUUGCCCGGAGAGAUAGGCCACGAGAAGUAUGGAGCUAGUAGAGCCGAAUGAGAGAGAAGAAGAAUCCAGAAUAAAUGGUCACUUGACUGGCUGAGGUCAGAUCGUGUUCAGGUGACUACAACACAGAUGGAACCAAACGGCGAGGCGCUGAGAAAAGCCCCUUUCACCACCACCCCCCCCCCACCCUCACCCCC